ACCUGCAGCCAGCAUUGUCCUUGCUUCUGCUCGCUGUGCCUGUAGGUGGCCCGAAGUACGUGUCACCACCAGAUUGUAGGUAAGAUGCCAUCCUAGGCACUUAGCCCGGAACCUUGCACUCACUAAACGCUUGGGAACAAUUUGUUGGGCGGACUGUCUUGUUUAGUCCAACCUCUCCCUUCAUGAGCAUCGCUGAAAGGGUCACCUCCAAGAACAAACUGAAGGGUGUCGGUGCUCACGAGUGAAUGAAUGAAUAAACGAAUGAAAACCUUCAAUGAAUGGCACUGCUCUUCUCUCCUAAUCCGACUCUGGCCAGCUAGGGGCGGCCUCUUCUCGCGGUCCUCGGUGUUCUGCCCCUACGCUCGCUGAGGAUUUUUCUAGUCUUGUGUUUUAAGUCCCUUCACGUCACCAGGAACCAGAAGCGAAUUGAGACUCUAAUACUAUAAUGGCCCCCCUGGGCCACCGUAGCCGGCCGCUGACUUGACCUAAAAACCGACGCCGCCAUUUUGUCUCCGGGCACUUCCGCGUUUCACACCGGUUUCUCCGUCUCCGGCUCCGCGCAGUACCUACAGAAAAUACCAACCUGUAAAUUGAAAUGCAGAUGGAAAGAGAACAUGUAUUCCAGCACUAUGAAAGUCAAACAUGAUGCCAAAGUAAAGUGCAAUGCUUCCAAAAAUUGAAAAAGCAUUCACAAAAGUCCAGUAAGAAGUAUCCAAGCCAAUCUGUUGGGAAACCAAAGAAAAACAGAGCACUCAUUUUGGGGAGUUAGCAAGAAAUAAAGGAUCCAGGGAUUCUGAAAAUAGAAUUCAGCAAUUUAGGCAUGAUUUGGCUUAAAUACUGAGCAAUCAAACUAUCCUUGGCUCAGGCAAGAAACAGGAAAUGUGCUUGGUAUAAGGGAUGAAAAUAGCAUUCAUUCAUAUUUGUAAGCGGCAGAGGCUCGCGAGGAGGAAAAUGGGAGCCAGGAAGAUGCGCAUGCUGGUCUCCCUACAGAAAUACGGGUACCAACAGAUACUGAAAACCGUCGAUUUCGCGUACCUGGAAAUUGACUGUUAUUAUAAGAGCAGAGGCAAUCGUGACAGCAAAAGACUGGUAGUCUGAAGGCGCCUCUCCAUCCUGUCCCACGGUUUGCAGAUAAGCUCCAAGAGGUAUGAAGAAGAGGAUCAUUGAUGUUAAAACUCCAUGCAACAAGCUUACGAAGAAUCUCUUGUAGUUGAAUAGACGACGAUGAUACGUUACCUGUGCAGAGUACCCAUUGAAGAAGGAGUACCAGAAAUGAACCAAAGUAAAUGCAAAGUUUUUAUAGAAGAAGUAUCGCAGGAACUUGCACAUCCUUAUGUAAGACCACCGGCCGUGCACCAGCAGCAGUCUCUGCAGAUAUCUGAACUGGGCAAAGGAGUAGUCACUUGACAUGACAGCUUGCAUGCCUUCCUGUCCACUUAUUCCAACACCAAUGUGGGCAGCUGUGGGGCCGAGGGAGAGGAUACUGUGAAUCAUAAGCUUAUUUUGGGGCAAAACAUUGAGAUGAUAAAAAUGUUUAGUAGCAAUACAGGAAAGAAAAAAACAUUCAUGAAACAAUACAUAUGGAAACUCUUGCUCACCAUCCCCUACCUUCAGCUUCUGAACUCAACUCAAAGUCAGAGGAACAAGUUGCCAAACAGAGCACAUGGUUGAGCCUUCAUAAAUAUUUGUGAAAGGACCUCAGGUGAGUGGUAAAUGCCAUUUGGAUUAUCUGCCCAGCUCAUAAGCCAUCCUUCCCACCCACAAGGUGAGUCCCAGGUACCCAUGUGUACCCUGUGUCCCUGCCUCCCUGGCCACAGCUGAGUCAGCCAAGAGCAGGUAUAUAAUCUGGUAGAUACUAUGAACUGGCUCUUAACCUUCAUUCUCCCCUUAUUCUAACUGGAGAGGUGGGAAAGCAAAUAAAAAAAAACGCUACAUCGCUCAGACUCCUUUGCAGCUGGGUUCUUUGUGAAUUCGGUUCCACUGUUUGGACUCACUUGUGACUUGGAAGCAGAAGUGAAUCAGAGCCCAGCAUCUCUUCCCAUUCUGACAUUCUGCAGCAGAAUUCUUAUCCAUUCUCCAGCUGCCCAAAUGUUGAUAAACCACUGCGAAGGCUUCUCAAUUGAAAAGCUCUUCAGAGGAGCCUCAAAGCUAGAAGCUUCUCUGGUGAGUGACACAGACAUUACAAAGCCUAAAACCUGCUGCUUCAGUCCCUCCAGAAUUUCAUGGGAACCUAGUCCCUUGUAUUAAUCACUUCCGGCUUAAAGUACCUAAAGAGGUCUGUUUCCUGUAUUACACCCUGGCUGAUAGAAAACCUGAGCUGGGCCAGUCGCUCUUGGCAUUUUGGAAUUAGGAUGGGAUGGCUAUCCUUCUUUCUGGGGGGCAGAGAAUAAAGUAGUUUAGAGAGAGGGUGAGAGAGACAACAGACGCUGGGUUCCUGUGUAGCACCAGGUCCUGGUUCUAGCAUUUUCCUGAGGCCUGACUUCUUGAGCAGCACAAGACAUAUCUGUAUCUUAAAAUAAAUUUCUUUUUGUCUUAA